rnacentral:rRNA from 1 species
UGCAGUCGAGCGGUAACAUUUCUAGCUUGCUAGAAGAUGACGAGCGGCGGACGGGUGAGUAACGCGUAGAAAUCUGCCUAGUAGUGGGGGAUAGCCCAGAGAAAUUUGGAUUAAUACCGCAUACGCCCUACGGGGGAAAGGAAGGGACCUUCGGGCCUUUCGCUAUUAGAUGAGUCUGCGUCGGAUUAGCUUGUUGGUGAGGUAAUGGCUCACCAAGGCGACGAUCCGUAGCUGGUCUGAGAGGAUGAUCAGCCACACUGGAACUGAGACACGGUCCAGACUCCUACGGGAGGCAGCAGUGGGGAAUAUUGCACAAUGGGCGCAAGCCUGAUGCAGCCAUGCCGCGUGUGUGAAGAAGGCCUUAGGGUUGUAAAGCACUUUCAGCAGUGAGGAAAGGUGUGUCGUUAAUAGCGGCAUACUGUGACGUUAACUGCAGAAGAAGGACCGGCUAACUCCGUGCCAGCAGCCGCGGUAAUACGGAGGGUCCGAGCGUUAAUCGGAAUUACUGGGCGUAAAGCGCGCGUAGGCGGUUUGUUAAGUCAGAUGUGAAAGCCCCGGGCUCAACCUGGGAACUGCACCUGAUACUGGCAAACUAGAGUACAGAA